CACGUAGGAGGCAAACGUUAUCCGGAUUUACUGGGCGUAAAGCGCGUGUAGGUGGUUCUGUAAGUAGGGCGUGAAAGCUCCCGGCUCAACUGGGAGAGGCCGUUCUAAACUGCAGAGCUAGAGGAUGGUAGAGGGAGGUGGAAUUCCAGGUGUAGCGGUGGAAUGCGCAGAUAUCUGGAGGAACACCAGUGGCGAAGGCGGCCUCCUGGACCAUUCCUGACACUCAGACGCGAAAGCUAGGGUAGCAAACGGGAUUAGAUACCCUGGUAGUCCCU
rnacentral:rRNA from 1 species